rnacentral:rRNA from 1 species
CACGUAGGGGGCGAGCGUUGUCCGGAUUUAUUGGGCGUAAAGAGCUCGUAGGCGGUUUCGUAAGUCGGAUGUGAAAACUCCAGGCUCAACUUGGAGACGCCAUUCGAUACUGCGAUGACUUGAGUCCGGUAGGGGAGUGUGGAAUUCCUGGUGUAGCGGUGAAAUGCGCAGAUAUCAGGAAGAACACCUAUGGCGAAGGCAGCACUCUGGGACGGUACUGACGCUGGGACGCGAAAGCGUGGGGAGCAAACAGG